rnacentral:rRNA from 1 species
AUCUCAAAUCAGGUAGGACUACCCGCUGAACUUAAGCAUAUCAAUAAGCGGAGGAAAAGAAACUAACAAGGAUUCCCCUAGUAACUGCGAGUGAACAGGGAAGAGCUCAAAUUUAAAAUCUGGCGUGCCUCUGGUCGUCCGAGUUGUAAUUCUG